UACGAAGGAUGCAAGCGUUAUCCGGAUUCACUGGGUUUAAAGGGUGUGCAGGUGGGGCAAUAAGUCAGUGGUGAAAUCCCCCGACUCAAUCGGGGAACUGCCAUAGAUACUGUUGUCCUUGAGUGUAGUUGAGGCGGAUGGAAUAUGACAUGUAGCGGUGAAAUGCGUAGAUAUGUCAUAGAACACCGAUCGCGAAGGCAGUCCGCCAAGCUAUUACUGACACUGAAACACGAAAGUGCGGGGAUCAAACAGG
rnacentral:rRNA from 1 species